rnacentral:lncRNA from 1 species
GUUUUUUUUUUUUGCCUAUUCUCGGUCCAUUGUUUUCUGAUUUGAAAUUCCACCUAGACCCCUAAACAUAGCCAAAGAGAAUGAAAAACUGAGGACCGUCUUCAAAUUCAAUCGUUCACUGGGAAAUGAGAGUAAUUUAAAAAAAAUUAAGAACAUAUUUUGUCUUGCAGCAGGCCAUACAUAAGGAUCCCUCAGAGAGUUGUUGUACACGAGUCAUUCGAUUUUAAGUCCCCGUCUUAACCGGAUGAUCGAGGCUGCAAAUUUUCCCGUAACAAACAGCCAAAUGCUGCAUUUUAGCAAGGACCUCACUGCCGGACGGGAGACUAUAUUUUAAUACCCACGAGUCAACGUUUGGGUGAUAGAAUGAGUAGUUCAAAUAUACCGUUUCCACAAAAACGCCGUUUCUGUGAAAUGCAUUUGAUUUAAAUAAGUGGGACUAUUUGGUUGUCGGACUAGUAGUGUGCAAGAUUUAUGGUGCGUCGGAACAAUAAGGUGUCUUGAUUACUGAAUUGCAAGCAUCUGGUCUUGGACAGGAACCUUAAAAAAAUGUAUCGGAGUUGAACAUGUUUGUGAGAGUUCAAUCCUUCUAUUAACCUUGGAACAUUGUUAUCACAAAACACAAUAAGAACAACAUGUAAUACCAGAUGGAAACGAAUUGGCUUAUCAAGAUUAGAAAUUUGAAAGAAAAAUAAUAAAAGUGCUUCCCAUUAAUUUCAAACAGUUUAGGCCAGUGCAGGCCAUGAGUCCAGUCCACAAGUCCAGUUUAGUCACGAUUUUACCCUUUGCCCUACACAAAGCUAAAAUGUGUUGUUUGUCCUUUAAAUUAUGUAACCGUCUGCAGUGCGGGGAUAGCAGACGAUUGCAAUGUAUGAUUAUGUAUAUUAUGUCAUUUUUAAAUGUCAAUGAAAUUGACGGAAGCACGUGUCAGCUGUGUAAUGGCUGAGAAUUAGAUAUAAAUCAACGGAAAAUAAUAACUACAAUUAGUUUUAAUACAAAACUUUAGAAUAAUUUUGUGGACAAUUUCAAUAGAAAAAUAUGUGCUAAUGAACGAUAUUUAAGUAUAGUAAAGAUGUGGUAUGAUUGCAAACGAGAACACUAAGGGAGCUACCAUUUGAUUUUUUUUUUUGGGGGGGGGGGGGGGGGGGGGAGCUAGGAUGAAAUUUGAAAAAAAUAGGCAGGACAGGAGUUUUGAGUAAAAAAAAAAGCAGGAUGUGACACUUGCAAAAAAAAAAGUCAGGACGACAAUUUUGGUAAAAAAAAGUCAGGAUAAACUAAAAAAAAAAAAAGGCAGGACCGAUUAGAGUGAAAAAUAAAAAGGCAGGACAGAGAUUACAGCUAAAAAAAAAUGCAGGACAAAAUUUUUCAUCCUAGCCCCCCCCCCCCCCAAUCAAAUGGUAGCUCCCUAACCACCAGAGACCAAAUGACACAAAAUGAGCAAAAUCCUAAACGUAGUCAGAUAUUUAUAAAAGGCGUGACUUGACAUAAUUUUGAUGGAACAAAUGUGCUAAUGGACGAUUUAUGUGGUAUAAUUGCCAAUGAUCGAGACAAAUUAUCUACCAGUGACCAAGUGACAUAGAUAUAGCUAAUAUAUAUCAAUCUACGACUUCUAACAAUAUUAAGCAAAAUCCAUACCAUAGAGUCCGCUAUAAAAGACCAUGACAUAUGUCAUCAUUUCAACGCAACACAUCUGCUGAAUGAAAGAUACAUGUAAAUAUGUGGUAUGGUUACCAGUUAGACAAAUAUCAACAAUAGACCAAAUGACAUAGACUUAGAAAAUAUAUAUCAUCGGAUGAACUCCAACAAUGAGAUACACCGAAACCGUAUAGACAUCCAUAAAAAGUCCCGACAUGGCAAAAUGUAAAACAAUUCAAACGACGUAACUAACGGCCUUAUUUACAACAAAACAAUAAAUAUAUUUUUAAAACAAAUAUGACAGCAGCCAAUCACAAGAAUAUGGCGGGGUUAAUGAACAUGUCAGCGAGAGUUCUCCUCUCCUCCCCUUCCCCUCCCCUAAACCCGAUACAGUGGUGUAUGAGCACCACAUAAUAUUUUAAUUUUGAAGUUUUCAAUAAAUGGCUAUUCUAAAUUUAAUCAACAGAUAGUGUCUCAAGGUACAGUUGCAAAUUCUCAAAGCAUUUCUCUUUCAGAAACCAUGAUUAUUUACUAUUUAAACUUAUAUUUGGUUUGGAUGCAAUGCAGUGGCGGAUCCAGGAUGAACCUCCCUAAGCUUUUUUUAGAUGAUAAAUGCAUUUGAAUGGGGACAUGUAGUUGGAACCCCCCACCCACACACACACACACAAACACCCCUGCAAUUAGUUCAUUACUAAAUAUGGGAUACUAGAAUAAUAAUGGAUUUUGUGUGUACAAAUGAUGACAUGAAAAUUCAACUUCUAAAUAGAAAUUGCAUUCAGGCUUCCC